GCCCUCGGUGGCUCAGAUGGAUAGAGUGUCUGUCCUGUAAGCAGAAGAUCCCGGGUUCAAGUCCUGGUUGGGGCA